GUGAGACAGGUGCUGCAUGGCUGUCGUCAGCUCGUGUUGUGAAAUGUUGGGUUAAGUCCCGCAACGAGCGCAACCCUUAUCCUUUGUUGCCAGCGGUCCGGCCGGGAACUCAAAGGAGACUGCCAGUGAUAAACUGGAGGAAGGUGGGGAUGACGUCAAGUCAUCAUGGCCCUUACGACCAGGGCUACACACGUGCUACAAUGGCGCAUACAAAGAGAAGCGACCUCGC
rnacentral:rRNA from 7 species